rnacentral:lncRNA from 1 species
GGUUUUUCUAUUACAUGGAGACUCAGGUUAUGGAACCCCCAAGACAUGAGCUCACUUCCUUGACAACAUCUCCAAACAGAACUUGGAACCCUUGCUAACGGGUGUCACAAUCUAGUAACAGCCAUCUCCCAAGCUCACUUGGCUGCAGACUGUCAACGGUGAACAUGCUGAGCUGCUUCUCCACUUCGAGAGGCCACAGCCUCAGGACCCCAGGUAGAGAAAGUAUCUGUGAAAGAUUAAGAAGAUGGCUGACUCCAUCCAGAUGCCACAGGCCAUGCUGCAGCAGCCGCAGGACUGUCACAGACACCCCAGGGACUGGCUCCCUGGGAGUGACCAUCAGUGACCUACCAAAAUCAAGGAUGGAAACAGCAAAUCCUUCGUGGGGAUAACGGUUCCAAGGAGCUGGGCUGCAGCUGCCUUCAAGGAGCACACAAGGUUCAAUUCUUGGGGAAAGGAGUAAAGACAACCACAUAAGGAUAAGAGACAAAGAGGGGUUUGUAUCCUACACCUUGGAGAAGAACAGGACUUGCACAGACAGAAGAGAGUCAGAGGGCAAAGCCUACAGCAGGCACAGCCUGAAUUUUCUGUACAGGAAAGGCAGGCCCAAGAACAUGCCAAGGAACCCUGAGCAGAAUCAGCCCCAGGACCAUGGCUACCCACUGGAAGCCAGCAGGAGCCAACGGGAAGCUACCCAGGAGCAAACCGGAAGUCACCAGGAGCGAAGUGGAAGUUACCCAGGAGGAAGCAUCAGGGCCUGCUUUCUUUGAAGACGUGGGUUCUGAACAGUAGCAGUUGGCCACCCCUUGGCAGGCAGGGCUUCAGGGCCUGCCAGGGAUCAUAGUGAUCCCUCAUACUGGAAGUGGGGCCAAGUCUAGAACUCCACCA